GGCUUAGUACCCGGAAGGGAUUUAUCCUGAAGGGGAAGCUAAGUACCCAAAACACUGCAUUGCCACAAGUCGAUAUCAAUAAUUAAUCAAAUAAUUUAUAUAUAUAUGGCAAGCACAUUCGAUGCAUCAAAUAUUCGGUGCAUCCGUUUAUCAUCGUGCCACGGAUGAUGCGUCACGUCUUAAUUUGGGAGUGCCGCACAAAGUAUCGCGCGUCCGUUUGUUAUCUUGCCACAAAUAUUUCGUCGCGUUCUAAUUAGUUCGAGUGUGCUAUGUAAAGUGUCACUGUUCAAAUACGGGAGUGCCGUGCAAAGUAUCGCACGUCCAUUCUUAUUGUGUCGUAUAAUGAACAAUAAUAAAUUGUAAGAAACUAUACUUUCGCGAGUGAAUGCAAAGAAUCCUGACAACUUGAGAGAAGGAAAAGGCCUAGGAGGCAUCAGGCGACGGCGGAACAACUUUAAGAUCAAUGUAGCUUCAAUGCCGUCAACUCCGCUGUUGCGCAUCGAUUAGUAAAUGAUAAAAAAAAGCUUUUAACGUCAAGUAUAUACAAUUCAAUAUUUGCGCAACAAAAAAACUGUGUCAAACCUAUGUUUUUUCAAUUAAACAUACUAAAAAAUCCCACAUUUUAAACUACAGCUAUUAAAACCUAUUUUUUUUUUUUCAAGAAUUUUUCUCGGGAUAUUUAAAAAAUGUAAUUUUAUAUAUUAUGUUAAAGCCAUAUAUUAUAAAGACAUAAGUAUAGUAUAAUAGUGAUAAAUUCAGCUGUGUGUGUAUGCUUCUUUUCUUGUCAAUAGCUACACAAUCUCGAAAAAAAUGUUUAUUCUAAAAAAUGCCUACUUUUAUAGUAGUGCAGCAUUAACGAAGACAUUAUUGUGUAGUACAUGGCACAAUUUACGGAACUUUUAUCGCGGACGAAAAGAACGUGUAAAUGUAGACUUUUAUACACCAUCCAUAACUUGAAACUUAGCACUCGUAAGCUUAGCUAUCUCCACUUCUCUCAAAGUAGCACGGUUCAUCUAUCCGCAGGCGCGAGAGAGAGAAAGAGAGAGACAGAGAGAGAGAGAGAGAGAGAGAGAGAAAGAGAGAAUGAGUGAGUGAGCACUCCAAAGACCUAGCUAAUCGCGUGCUUUUAUAUCUCUUGACCAAAAGAGUUCGUCCUUUUACGAGACGCGCAGAAGUAACGUUUAAGUCGCCUCGACGACCAGCGCUCACUCGUCACACACUUUUUUUACGACACAAUCUCAGACCAAUGAGGUAGACCAGUGACGAUAGAAUUUUCCAAGGUACUCUCAAGAGAGAGUACGUUUAUAGAUAACAAAAGUUAAUAGAAAUUUUUCAAAUUUAAUUACAUAGAUAUGUCUAAAAUUGAAUAUUAAAAUAUCACGAAAACAUAUAUACGAGGGUCAAAAUCAAUUUUUAUUAUAGAAAAAUUAUCAUAUACAGAGUGAGCCACGCAAUUGAGAUGGGUUCUAGCAUCUGUCCCGUAGAACAUAGAAAGAAAUGGUGGAGGCAAAAGUUGAAUAAUAUAACAAUGCCUAUUUUUCUAUUGACUCAUUUUUUCGUAAAUGCAACGAUACAUCAAAAAAGUGCAAUUGUAUUUUUUUUUUUUUGUAAUAGCAUUAUAAAUUUUUUUUUCACAUAAAUAGAUUCUUCUAAACAGUCUGUGUAUAAAAUUAUUAGAGUAAGAUGUUCGGAAAAGAAAUAUUUUACAAGAUAUUUGAAGUUUCUAAAUGAGGCAUAUGCUUUACUUAAGAAGGUGUUUAAACGUAUCACCGUUACGUAACAAAUAUUUUGUGAUCCAUUUCUUUAUGUUUUUUUAAUAUAUUAAUCGAGCAAUGCAACAAUAAAAUAUUGUAAUUUUGACAAAACCAAAACAGCAAGUUCUAUAGCGUUUGAAAUAAUCUAUUAAAUGAAAAAUAAUUUAUUACGCGUCGCUCAAAUUCCUCGGACGUUGUAUAUUGCGAUUCUUUACGAAGAUACUUUUACACUGCUGAAUAAUUUCUCAGUAUCUAAUGAACAACUUCGAAACUGCGAGAUGCAAUCGGUUUUUCCGGAUAGACAUGCAUUUCCGAGCGGAAAAAUCGCGAUUUGUUAUACCGCCUUUUAUUUCUCUUUUUGCUAAUAUUUUUAUAUCUCGCCGUUUCAAUUACUGCAGAUCUUUCAAAUUGUUUUUCUAUUGUUUAUCUUAAUCUAGAAUAGAAUUUUUAAGGAUACGUUCAAAUCGAUGAUCUUACUGUUAUCUCCGCUAUCGAGUUUAUUUUUCCUUCUGACUACGACAUAUUUGAUUUCUAUUGGUUUGCGUUUAAUCUCGUAAGAGUUAUGAAACUCGACGAACAUCGCCACAAUCCUCGUAACCUGCGAACAAGGCAAUCGAUGUCGAUCCGAUUAAGUCGAAUAAACCGCUUUUGUGAUGUACUUUGGUUUUAGAGCGAUUAGUUAAAAAGUUUAAAUAUUCUCUUUAGGUUAUCUAAUAGAAAUUAUGAAGGAUUAAUAAUAUUUAUGUCAGCGUUUUUGUCUAUAAUCAUUAAAACUUUCUCUUGUUUAAAUCUUAAAAAAAAAUAAAGAAAUAAUUACAAACUA